CAGCCGCCGCGGUAAUACGAAGGGUGCAAGCGUUAAUCGGAAUUACUGGGCGUAAAGCGUGCGUAGGCGGUGAGUUAAGUCUGCUGUGAAAUCCCCGGGCUCAACCUGGGAACUGCAUUUGUGACUGGCAAGCUAGAGUGUGGCAGAGGGGGGUGGAAUUCCGCGUGUAGCAGUGAAAUGCGUAGAUAUGCGGAGGAACACCGAUGGCGAAGGCAGCCCCCUGGGCCAACACUGACGCUCAUGCACGAAAGCGUGGGGAGCAAACAGGAUUAGAUACCCCCGUAGUCCCUGUCUCUUAUAC
rnacentral:rRNA from 1 species